CACGAGCCAUCCUGUCCUUACACGCACCUCGCCUCUGGCUCCCGUUCACGCACCUGCACCUGCACACACACACAGACACCCUCCCCGGGGCCUUCUUCUGGCCUGGCCUGAGCAGGUCUGGAAUGUGACCUGCAGGAAGGACUGGGGAUCGUCCUCCCCAGAGGACCCAGAGGACCCAGAAGACCCAACGGGGGUCUUUGAGUGCAAGCUUCUUCUGGGGAGAUGGCCGUGUCUGGCCCACGUCUUCCGGUGCUCACAGGACUGUGAGGAAUUUGCAAAUCCAGGUUUAAGGUUUGGGAAGCGAGGCUUUGUGACCUGCCUGCCUGUCUCAGCGUCUUGUGGUUCUCACAGGAGCUGAAUUUCUGAGGUUGCAUGGUUCCCUCUGAAUUCCUGAAAGCCCGAGGACAAACAGAACAGAAGAUGUUCUCAACAUGAGUGUGGGUAAUUUGUUUCCAGUGAAGACACAGUGUGGAUAAUUUACCUGUACAAGUCAAGAGAUGGAUACUUUUCCCAUCCAGUCUCACUGUGAC
rnacentral:lncRNA from 1 species